rnacentral:rRNA from 1 species
CACGUAGGGUGCGAGCGUUGUCCGGAAUUAUUGGGCGUAAAGAGCUCGUAGGCGGUGUGUCGCGUCGGCCGUGAAAACCUGCAGCUUAACUGUGGGCGUGCGGUCGAUACGGGCAUCACUGGAGUUCGGCAGGGGAGACUGGAAUUCCUGGUGUAGCGGUGAAAUGCGUAGAUAUCAGGAGGAACACCGGUGGCGAAGGCGGCUAUCUGGACAGAAACUGACGCUGAGGCGCGAAAGCUAGGGGAGCAAACAGG